CCGUCCUGCGCAGUACCAUGGAACGUAUUAUUUCGUUCCCAUGGAACCCAUGGAACGUUAAUUAUCUAGUAACGAAACGGUAAUGUGACGGUUCUUGCUCGUGUUGGAACAAACCUAUUGAUUAUCAGUUUGAUUUUGUAUGCAUAACCUCACUAUCGCAGUUUAUGUCAAUAAAUAUUUAUUAACGAAAAAGAAAAUAUUUUGUUGCACUAUAAAUUACAGUAUAAAUUAAUAACUAAUGAAUUCUAACAAAUGUAUUCGGUUAUUAUCACUACAAAAUAAAAUAUUCAAGUUUAACAAAAUAAUCCCAUAAGACUCAAUGUUAAAACGUCCUUACAAAAUCUGACAGCGUAUCACGUGACUGUACGUAGAGGGGAGACGCACGGAGCCAAUAGAAAAGUUUGUUUUUUUCUGCUUAUAAUGCCGUUUUCUAAAGAUAUUAGUGAACAAAAUCGAUUUGCUAACAAUAUUUAAUAUAUUUUAAAUGUGCUAAAAUUGGAUUCAACAGCAAAAGUCGCAUAAAUAACAUAUAAAUAACGAAUUUGUUCACCUAUUACAAAUGGGGUUAUGUGGUUGUAACUGUUUAUUUUGGGAAUAAAAUGAAAAUGAUCAAUUAAACGACUGGAAAACUAUAGUGAAGUGAAGAACAUCUUGAAGUUCCAAUGAUGUUUCAAGAUGAGGUAAAUCGAAAUAAUUGUGUGUUAGAAGGACAGAGAAUAUGAAGAAAUGUUAUUGCUGCAUAUUUAGUGUAGUGAAAUACAAACUUCAAACAUUAUAAUAUAUUUUUUGAUUUCAAACAUUUCAUAUGAUUAUGAAAGAACAUCUUUCUUUUUAAAACAAUGAAGAAGUGAAGUACAUAAUAAAGUUCCAACGAAAAUGAUUCCAGAUGAGGAAAAUCGAAAUAAUGGUUGUAUGUUACAUGUAUAGAGAAUACGAAGAAAUGUUAUUGCUGCAAACUUAGUGUAGUGAAUUAAAAACUUAUUGUCAAAUACAAAUCAAUUUAUUUCAUACUUUUAUAAUAUAUAGUGAUAUAAUUUUAUAUGUGUUCAAAUAAAAAUAUUAAUAAAUAAAAUACAAUAAACACAAA